GGAUGUGAGGGCGAUCUGGCUGCGACAUCUGUCACCCCAUUGAUCGCCAGGGUUGAUUCGGCUGAUCUGGCUGGCUAGGCAGGUGUCCCCUUCCUCCCUCACCGCUCCAUGUGCGUCCCUCCUGAAGCCACGACCUCGGUGGAAGAGGACCGUUCUUCGGUCAAGGGUAUACGAGUAGCUGCGCUGCCCUGCUAGAACCUCCAAACAAGCUCUCAGCAGAGCCCUGGCUCCAGACAGAGCAAAAUGGGGACGGAGCCCUGGGCUGGGUGGGAGGGAGCUGUGGGAGAGGG
rnacentral:snRNA from 1 species